rnacentral:rRNA from 1 species
ACUCCUACGGGAGGCAGCAGUAGGGAAUAUUGCGCAAUGGACGAAAGUCUGACGCAGCAACGCCGCGUGAGUGAAGAAGGCUUUUGGUUGUAAAGCUCUGUCAUGUGGGACGAAAACUCCAUGGGUUCAUAGCCCUUGGAUCUGACGGUACCACAGGAGGAAGCACCGGCUAACUCCGUGCCAGCAGCCGCGGUAAUACGGAGGGUGCAAGCGUUGUUCGGAAUUAUUGGGCGUAAAGGGGUAGGUAGGUGGUCUCGUUUGUCUGGGGUGAAAUCCCUAAGCUUAACUUAGGAAGUGCCUCAGAAACGGCGAGACUAGAGUCCUGGAGAGGGUCGUAGAAUUCCCGGUGUAGCGGUGAAAUGCGUAGAGAUCGGGAGGAAUACCAGAGGCGAAGGCGACGACCUGGACAGGUACUGACACUCAACUACGAAAGCGUGGGGAGCAAACAGGAUUAGAUACCCUGGUAGCACAGAG